rnacentral:rRNA from 1 species
GGCCAGACUCCUACGGGAGGCAGCAGUAAGGGAUAUUGGUCAAUGGGGGAAACCCUGAACCAGCAACGCCGCGUGAGGGAAGACGGUUUUCGGAUUGUAAACCUCUGUCCUCUGUGAAGAUGAUGACGGUAGCAGAGGAGGAAGCUCCGGCUAACUACGUGCCAGCAGCCGCGGUAAUACGUAGGGGGCAAGCGUUAUCCGGAUUUACUGGGUGUAAAGGGAGCGUAGACGGCAGUGCAAGUCCGGAGUGAAAGCCCAGGGCUCAACCCUGGGACUGCUUUUGAAACUGCCGGGCUGGAGUGCAGGAGAGGUAAGCGGAAUUCCUAGUGUAGCGGUGAAACGCGUAGAUAUUAGGAGGAACACCAGUGGCGAAGGCGGCUUACUGGACUGUAACUGACGUUGAGGCUCGAAAGCGUGGGGAGCAAACAGGAUUAGAUACCCCCGUA